UUAGACACCAGACUUCUGGUCAUUUUUUCCCCUUACAAUGUAGCUAGUAUACUACAUCCAGACAUAAGCAAUCCAUUUUGCAUUGGGAUAUAUUGCACAUUUCCUCAUAUAUCCCUCUGCUAUGUGGUACAGAGAUGAGCAUAAAGCACUAGAAAAGGCUGGAAUAUCGGCAAAGAGAAAAUUCAGAAGUGUUUACUUACAGAAGGUCAGUCUACUGUUUUCAGGAAGAUGUGUAACCAGAAGAAGGAGGACCACUUAGAAGGCAUAAUACUGCAUCAUUUCUUGCAUAUUGAGCAGCUAGAAUUCACAGCCGUUAAUCCCUUUUCAUUUUCUUCCUCACUUAAAAUACUACCGGAUCAAAGACCAAACUAAAUGUUUCUGAUUCAUCAGAAGCUAUUCCAGAAAAGACGUGAAAAUGUGUCAGUAGCAAGGAUGUUAACUCUGCGUGGAAGUCCUACAUCUGCUCCUCCCAAAAGGUUUCUCUUGAGAAAACAUAACCACAACAAACUUAGCAACACUGAGAUCCUGUUGUUCAGUUCAUGCUAUAAAGGAGACUGAAGCCCUAAUUUCAUGGAAUCACAGAACUGUAGGGGUGGAAGGAGACCUCUUAGAGACCACCAAGUCCAACUCCUCUCAUAAAAGAAGGUUCCCUUCAACAAGCCUGUUAAAGUUGGUGUUACAGCUGGAAAGAUUACCAUGGUGAAAAUGGGAAAAGAAACAAAUGGAACGAAUGCUCACCUGAACCUGAAGAUCGAGCUUUGCAGGAAAUACUCCACAGAGGAGGAAUCUCCAGAAAGAGACCCUUCACCACUGGCAGUCAGCACUUAAAUGGGCUCCAGGAGGGGUGCAGCCAGGCACCACCCCUUCCAGUCACACAAGUGAAUUGCCUUCACCUGUGGCUGACUCAGUCCUUUCCUCAGUUGAUCAAUCAGUGGCUCAAGCUGUGACUCACCAGUUCCCAUACAAAGUCACGGCAGAAAUGAUUCAAAGGAUGCAAGCUUCAUUACAAGUUUAAAGAAAGUAGAAUUCUCUUCUUGGGAAAUGGGAGUAAGAUUGUAUGUGACAGACAGGAACAAACAAAAACAGAACUAAUAAUCAUAGAAUGAGCUGGAUUGAAAAGGACCACAGUGAUCAUUGAGUUUCAACCCCUCUGCUACGUGCAGGGUUGCCAACCAC
ensembl:lncRNA